rnacentral:rRNA from 1 species
AUUGAACGCUGGCGGCAGGCCUAACACAUGCAAGUCGAGCGGAUGAAGGGAGCUUGCUCCUGGAUUCAGCGGCGGACGGGUGAGUAAUGCCCAGGAAUCUGCCUGGUAGUGGGGGAUAACGUCCGGAAACGGGCGCUAAUACCGCAUACGUCCUGAGGGAGAAAGUGGGGGAUCUUCGGACCUCACGCUAUCAGAUGAGCCUAGGUCGGAUUAGCUAGUUGGUGGGGUAAAGGCCUACCAAGGCGACGAUCCGUAACUGGUCUGAGAGGAUGAUCAGUCACACUGGAACUGAGACACGGUCCAGACUCCUACGGGAGGCAGCAGUGGGGAAUAUUGGACAAUGGGCGAAAGCCUGAUCCAGCCAUGCCGCGUGUGUGAAGAAGGUCUUCGGAUUGUAAAGCACUUUAAGUUGGGGGGAAGGGCAGUAAGUUAAUACCUUGCUGUUUUGACGUUACCAACAGAAUAAGCACCGGCUAACUUCGUG